rnacentral:lncRNA from 1 species
UGUCAUGGCCACUACAAGCCUUUAGAUUAAUCUAUCAAUUAGCGAUGCAAUUUAUUUGUUUUGCAGGAAUAAUCAGGAUGGCUGCUAUAAAUUGUCUGAUAUAACAGGAUGUCUUCUUUUUCAUUCUUUCUUUUUUCUUUUCUCCCAUCUAAGCUUUUCAUUUUUCAUUCUAACUGGAGUGGCUGAUUGCCCUUACUCCUUGUUUAUUCUUCUUUUUAUCCCUUCUGACUCCAGAUGAUGGAGAAGUAGAGAAGGGAAUACAAGAGCAAUCACAAAGUAGGCUUGCCACGCACGAGCUCCAAGCGGAUAAGAGCAAGAUAACUUCAGAAGAUCACACUUCUAAACUAAAAGAGGAUAAUUUUAGUUUUAAAUAACUUGUUCUUUUCUCCUACUAACUACCCCUAUAUAUUGCAUGGGCAUGGGACAUCUCCCCACCUCUAUGGAAUAAAUGAGAGAAUUCAGCCUUCAAUAGAAUGGAUGAAUACAAGAU